GGGGGUUAAAAAACCGUUAAGAAGAUUGUAAAUUUAGUCAUUUUAGUCCAAAUGAAUGCUAUAAUAGUGCUUUUACUAAAUCUGUUAAUUAUAUGUACCUACCAAUUUUCUAAAUCAGACAGUCAUAUUGUGCAAAUCGGGCGUCGAACUUGUGUUCGUCAGAUUAAGGAAAUGCGUACAAAUAAUUGUCAGAUUAAGUUAUAGAAAAAUUAUAGCAUUAACUUGGACCAAAACGACCAAAUCCACAAGCUACUUAAUGAUAUUUUAACCACGCGAAUGUUUAAAAAAUCUGUAGACUCUGUCCAGCUCGCUGGAAAAUAUUAUAUAACCUUUUUUUCUACCUAUCAUCUAAUCUUUCGAUUCCAAUAGGUCUCUAAGAUGCUCGAGUAACUACACACUCAGCUAUUAAUGUUGAACCGGUUAACUGUCUUGGCGCUGAAGGCCCCAAAAUCGUCAUUUUCAUUAUUUUCAAUUUAAGGGUAGUUCAGUUUAUUCGUUUUCAAGUCCAUGUACUGAAUUCCAUAUUCUAUUUUAAUGUUAUAUUCCGAUAUACAUCUCGCUAGUUAUUUAAAUGGAAAUUGUGAGAUUGUGAACCGAUAAGCCGUAUUUUAGGACAGAUUUUACAUUUAUGUAAAAUAGCAAUUUCAGUGCUAGCCUUUACUUACUUCAAAAUCAGAUAAGUUAACACGUGGCAAAAACAAUUUUAAUCUUAAAAUAAAUACUCACCCACCAGUUUAAAUGCUAAAACGAUAUAAAACCGCGGCCGUAGAAUCUGAAAUUCACACCGAAUACGAUAAAACGUAUUUAAAUAAAGGCUCAUGUCCACAAAACAUUCGGUGUGGCGUCGUUAGCUGCAGGAGAUGCAUUUAUUUAUGAAAUGUAAAUGCACUGAUUGUAAUAACAAAACUCGAAGGCACUGCUCUCCUCUAUAUUAAGAUGUAUUAUUUGCAUACUGUAUGUGUAUACUAUUGUAAGAGUGUGACCGAGGCUACGGGUGGCAAAUCUGAUAUUACCUUUCUAUCCUCAUUUAACCUUGUUUAUAAAGCUAUUUUUAAGCUCAUAGCAUGAGAAAUAUCACAUUCGAAUGAUUUUCUGUUUAAGACGGCCAAAGACGUAAGAGAUUAAAUUGAUAAAAUAACAUAAUGCCUGAGUAACUAUUUUACCUAUUUUUAUUUAAAGGUAAAAAGCCAAAAAAAUAUCGGAAUAAUUUAUAACUAUAAGGCGCUUAGCACACUGGAUUCGUUUCGCAGGCAUGUUUGAUCGAGACAACGCCAUGCGCAUAUUAAUAGUAUCAAUAACUAGUACCAUAAAAUUUUGUCCAAUCAUGUCGUAACUAACGGACAUAAAAGAUAAAAUCACUAUUAAACUACUUAAUUUAGAUAAAAAGUUAUUACAAAUAAUGAAUCGGUAAUUGGCAGUGAAAGGUAUGGUGAGUCGUGACGUGUAGGUGACGUCACGAGCUCGUCGUGCGCACGCCGCGCGCUGGCGCGUGCGCGACGUAGCCGAAUUCCGCGACACACGGCUGAUCGAUCAGUGACAACAGUUUAGUUUCGAUUGUAGAAGAAUAUUGUUUUGAAGACGCGUUGCACAUUUAAAUAAAAACAUGCUAGUUAACUCCCUGGUGCGGGAGAAACGAACUUAUAUUGAUAGUGUCUGUGAAGGUUGAAUAUCAAAAUCUAACAGAUCACGUUUUUAUUGGAGUUCUGUUACCAUGCAUAUAGUUCUGAGUUGAUAUCAAGAUAUCUGUUGCUAUUUAAGUUUGACAAAAAAUGUAAUUUACCUAAAAAAUAUAUAACAUAUAUUUUUAUUAACGUUUUUACUGCCAACGAGAGCUACGCGUUUAUUUUUCCGCUUUGUAGCGAAAAGCGCCUACGAACAGAGAACCUGCCCAGUGAAUGUGUUAAUCAUACUUAAAUCAGUUAAACGGUAUGCUCGUCUCUCAUACAAAGUUUUCUUAAAGAUCAUUUAAAGUAAUUAUAUUUAGUGUAGUGAAAUUUAAUAUAAAUAUAAGUAGGAAUAUACAGUUAUAAUUGGCUCAUUCUAUUGAAUAAGUCAAUCCACAUAGACUGACUAGGAAACCUUUUAAAUUUUUUAUGUCUCUCUCUCUUUUAUACUUAGAAAACAACCAUGACUCAGGAACAAAUAUCUCUGUUCAUCACAUAAAUACAAAAUGCCCUUACCGGGAUUCGAACCCGGGACCAUCGGCUUCAUAAUGACUACAUAACGUAUCGCUAUCUCAUGGCAGGAUUUCAUAUAAAUUCAAAGAAACAAUGGACGUCAUAGAACUUAAUUAACACGAACCAACUCUACAACAUAACAAUAUGUCUAUGGGACACGUGGAGUCGUGAUUGACCGGCGUACACGCAGGCCAGUAAACUCCACAAACCGUUAUAAAGGAUUUUAAAAAAAUGGAACAUAGUAUAAGAUGAGAGGUGUGUCCUGACGUAACUUUUCGUGACUGACUCUCGUGACUCUUCUGACCAGACUUGGCUAAGCCUUCGUAUUAAAAAGCAAAUCUACAUUCUGCACUCGUAUUUUUAUUUGAAAACGGUUAAGUGAUUUGUUUCGUGUUCGAUUUUUUUCAGAUGUAUUUUUUAUAAUCCCGUUAGGGUCCCGUACACAAAGGGUAAAACGAGACCCUAUUACUAAGACUCCGCUGGCCGUCCGUCUGUCUGUCUGUCCGUCUGUCACCAGGCUGUAUCUCAUGAACCGUGAUAGUUAGACAGUUGAAAUUUUAACAGAUGAUGUAUUUCUGUUGCCGCAAUAACAACAAAU